rnacentral:snRNA from 1 species
GGGCGAGAGUAGUACUAGGA